rnacentral:rRNA from 1 species
GACAGAGGGUGCAAACGUUGCUCGGAAUUACUGGGCGUAAAGCGCGUGUAGGUGGAUUGGUGUGUCAGAUGUGAAAGCCCUGGGCUCAACCCAGGAACUGCACCUGAAACUACCAGUCUUGAGUGGUGGAGAGGGAAGUGGAAUUCCUGGUGUAGAGGUGAAAUUCGUAGAUAUCAGGAGGAACACCAGUGGCGAAGGCGGCUUCCUGGACCGACACUGACGCUGAGGCGCGAAAGCUAGGGGAGCAAACGGG